UGAAGUUGGUGUGAGUGUGGGGAGAGAUACAGAGUCUACAGUAGUCUAGUGAAGUUGGUGUGAGUGUGGGGAGAGAUACAGUAGUCUAGUGAAGUUGGUGUGAGUGUGGGGAGAGAUACAGAGUCUACAGUAGUCUAGUGAAGUUGGUGUGAGUGUGGGGAGAGAUACAGAGUCUACAGUAGUCUAGUGAAGUUGGUGUGAGUGUGGGGAGAGAUACUGAGUCUACAGUAGUCUAGUGAAGUUGGUGUGAGUGUGGGGAGAGAUACAGAGUCUACAGUAGUCUAGUGAAGUUGGUGUGAGUGUGGGGAGAGAUACUGAGUCUACAGUAGUCUAGUGAAGUUGGUGUGAGUGUGGGGAGAGAUACAGUAGUCUACUGUAGUCUAGUGAAGUUGGUGUGAGUGUGGGGAGAGAUACAGAGUCUACAGUAGUCUAGUGAAGUUGGUGUGAGUGUAGGGAGAGAUACAGAGUCUACAGUAGUCUAGUGAAGUUGGUGUGAGUGUGGGGAGAGAUACAGAGUCUACAGUAGUCUAGUGAAGUUGGUGUGAGUGUAGGGAGAGAUACAGUAGUCUACAGUAGUCUAGUGAAGUUGGUGUGAGUGUGGGGAGAGAUACAGAGUCUACAGUAGUCUAGUGAAGUUGGUGUGAGUGUAGGGAGAGAUACAGAGUCUACAGUAGUCUAGUGAAGUUGGUGUGAGUGUGGGGAGAGAUACAGUAGUCUAGUGAAGUUGGUGUGAGUGUGGGGAGAGAUACAGUAGUCUAGUGAAGUUGGUGUGAGUGUGGGGAGAGAUACAGUAUCUACAGUAGUCUAGUGAAGUUGGUGUGAGUGUGGGGAGAGAUACAGUAGUCUAGUGAAGUUGGUGUGAGUGUAGGGAGAGAUACAGAGUCUAGUGAAGUUGGUGUGAGUGUAGGGAUUGUUACAGAGUCUACAGUAGUCUAGUGAAGUUGGUGUGAAUGUGGGGAGAGAUACAGUAGUCUAGUGAAGUUGGUGUGAGUGUGGGGAGAGAUACAGAGUCUACAGUAGUCUAGUGAAGUUGGUGUGAAUGUGGGGAGAGAUACAGUAGUCUAGUGAAGUUGGUGUGAAUGUGGGGAGAGAUACAGAGUCUACAGUAGUCUAGUGAAGUUGGUGUGAGUGUAGGGAGAGAUACAGAGUCUACAGUAGUCUAGUGAAGUUGGUGUGAGUGUGGGGAGAGAUACAGAGUCUACAGUAGUCUAGUGAAGUUGGUGUGAGUGUAGGGAGAGAUACAGUAGUCUACAGUAGUCUAGUGAAGUUGGUGUGAGUGUGGGGAGAGAUACAGAAGUCUACAGUAGUCUAGUGAAGUUGGUGUGAGUGUAGGGAGAGAUACAGAGUCUACAGUAGUCUAGUGAAGUUGGUGUGAGUGUAGGGAGAGAUACAGAGUCUACAGUAGUCUA